rnacentral:tRNA from 1 species
GCCGGAAUAGCUCAGUCGGUAGAGCAGAGGACUGAAAAUCCU